UUUCUCAUAUCAACUAUGGAAAUGGAACAAGAAAAGAUGAAUGUGAGUAAGGAGUUGGGCCCUGAUUCGACCUCCUACCACUGUUCAGCAUGUCAUGGGGAUGAGACCUGGAGCUACAACCAUCCCAUCUGGGGCCAGGCCAAGUCUCGAAGCCUAGCAACCCCACCUGCCCUGGGUAGCACCAAGGAGUUCAGGAGGACCCGCUCUCUCCAUGGGCCAUGCCCAGUGACCACGUUUGGACCAAAGGCCUGCGUGCUACAGAACCCCCAGACCAUCAUGCACAUCCAGGACCCUACAAGCCAGCGGUUGACAUGGAACAAGUUUCCCAAGAGUGUGCUUGUCAUCCAAAAGAUCCGAGAUGCCAGCCUACUGCAGCCCUUCAAAGAGGUCUGCAUAUGCCUCACGGUGGAGAGCAACAUGAUUGUGUAUGUGGAAAAGGAAGUGCUGGAAGACCCUGCUAUAGUGAGUGAUGAAAACUUUGGACCAGUGAAGAAAAAGAUUAUGAUGACAUUUCCAACCAGAUAGACUUCAUCAUCUGCCUCAGAGGAGAUGGUACCCUGCUGUAUGCCUCCUCUCUUUUCCAGGGCAUUGUGCCUCCUAUCAUGGCCAACUUUGAGAACUUCCAAUCCCAAGUGAAUCAGGUGAUAGAGGGGAAUGCCGUGGUCAUCCUGAGGAGCCGGCUGGAGGUCAGGGUCGUGGAAGAGCCUAGAGCCAUCCAUAAUGGCCUCAGUGAGAACGGCCUGGACACAGAGGGCAGAAGGCAGGCAGGCCAUGCAGUAUCAGGUCUUGAAUGAAGUGGCGAUCGACAGAGGCCCCUCCUCAUAACUGUUGAAUGUAGAUGUCUACCUGGAUGGACACCUUAUCACCACUGUGCAGGGCGAUGGCAUGAUCGCGUCCACCCCGAAGGGCAACACAGCAUAUGCAGCUGCAGCUGGUCCUUCCAUGGUCCACCCCAAUGUGCCGGCCAUCAUGGCUACACCCAUCUGCCCCCACUCGCUGUCAUUCCGGUCCAUCGUGGUCCCAGCAGGGGUCGACCUGAAGAUUAUUCUGUCACCAGAACACUGCAUGGGUGUCGUUUGAUGGACAGAAAAGGCAGGAACUACGCCAUGGAGACAGCAUCAGCAUCACCACCUCCUGCUGCCCGCUGCCCUCUAUCUGUGUGUGUGACCCUGUGAGUGACUGGUUUGAGAGCCUUGCCAGUGUCUGCACUGGAGUGUUCGAAAGAAGCAAGCUUACUUCCCAGAGGAUGAGGACCAGGGCGAGGAGGACAGCUAGGCCUCACUUCCCAGCCUCUGACCUGAGCUCUCACGCCCUUGGGGGCCUUCCUUCUCUUGUUCUCCUGCUGACCUUCUGGCUGACCUGGCCUUAACAAACCAUGUGGCUGUCCAGGCAUCUCUGUGUCCUGCCUGCCUUGCUGGGAGAGCUUGGGUCUGCCUUUUGAAGAACAGAUCAGCUCUGUAAUGUUUUUAAACCUCUUCUUCAUUUCUAAAGAAGCAAAAUGAGAACUGGGCUGGGUGUCCUACAUCUCUCCCAUGGGCCCCUGAGAUCCCAGAUCAGGAAUUCCCAUAAAUCAGUCUGUUGAAAUUCGGAGGGGGUCAGAAUGAACUGAUCUUCCUUUUGAUAUUGAAAUAAAU